rnacentral:rRNA from 1 species
UUUAAGGGCCGCGGUAUUUUGACUGUGCAAAGGUAGCAUAAUCAUUAGGUUUUUAAUUGGGAUCUUGUAUGAAUGAUUGGACAAAAGAAGGACUGUCUUUAUAUUAGAGUUUGAAUUUAACUUUUAAGUGAAAAGGCUUAAAUAUUCUAAAGGGACGAUAAGACCCUAUAAAACUUUACAUUGAUAAUUUAUAUUAUUAAAUUUUAUUAUAAUAAUUGUUUAAAUUUAUUUGUUAUGUUGGGGAGACAAAAUUAUAAUUUGUAUUAACUGUUUUAAAAAAAUUCAUUAAUUAAUGAUUAAGUUAAUUUAAUUGAUCCUUUAUAAAGAUUUAGAGAUUAAGUUACUUUAGGGAUAACAGCGUUAUUUUUUUUGAGAGUUCAUAUCGAAAAAAAAGAUUGCGACCUCGAUGUUGAAUUAAAAGUUCUUUAUAAUGUAGAUGUUAUAAAAAGAAGGUCUGUUCGACCUUUAAUUUUUUACGUGAUC